GAUGAACGCUGGCUACAGGCUUAACACAUGCAAGUCGAGGGGAAACGCCGGGGAAGCUUGCUUCCCCGGGCGUCGACCGGCGCACGGGUGAGUAACGCGUAUCCAACCUGCCUCUGACUGAGGGAUAACCCGUCGAAAGUCGGCCUAAUACCUCAUGGUAUCGUCUGCGGGCAUCCAACGACGAUUAAAGAUUUCAUCGGUCAGGGAUGGGGAUGCGUCUGAUUAGCUUGUUGGCGGGGUAACGGCCCACCAAGGCUACGAUCAGUAGGGGUUCUGAGAGGAAGGUCCCCCACAUUGGAACUGAGACACGGUCCAAACUCCUACGGGAGGCAGCAGUGAGGAAGAUUGGUCAAUGGGCGAGAGCCUGAACCAGCCAAGUAGCGUGCAGGAAGACGGCCCUAUGGGUUGUAAACUGCUUUUAUGCGGGGAUAAAGUGAGGGACGUGUCCCUCAUUGCAGGUACCGCAUGAAUAAGGACCGGCUAAUUCCGUG
rnacentral:rRNA from 1 species